UUCCUUCUUUUUCUGUAGUAUAUUGCUGAAAGCUGAUGCUGUCCAUCCCUCUAGCAGCAAGGAGCUUGGUAGGAGAAAGAGUAACUUCCCCAAAGUGCACUGUUGCAGAUGAAUCCAUAAAGCUUCUUAAUAGGUAAGUAAAAGCUUUCCAGUUUCAAGGAGAGCCAAAUGCAGCAAUGAACAUGAUGAUGAUGAAUCUCACCAAGUGGCUUUUUGCUGACUAGCAACAGACACAUAAAUACACAUAAGAGCAUAUUUGCAGGAUCAGGAAAAUUGUUUUUACCAUAUCUCAUAAGC